UACGUAGGGUGCAAGCGUUGUCCGGAUUUAUUGGGCGUAAAGAGCUCGUAGGCGGUUUGUCGCGUCUGCUGUGAAAGCCCGAGGCUCAACCUCGGGUCUGCAGUGGGUACGGGCAGACUAGAGUGCGGUAGGGGAGAUUGGAAUUCCUGGUGUAGCGGUGGAAUGCGCAGAUAUCAGGAGGAACACCGAUGGCGAAGGCAGAUCUCUGGGCCGUUACUGACGCUGAGGAGCGAAAGCGUGGGGAGCGAACAGG
rnacentral:rRNA from 1 species